UGGCGGCGUGCCUAACACAUGCAAGUCGAACGGUUAAGGCGGCUUCGGCCGCGGAUAAAGUGGCGAACGGGUGAGUAACGCGUGAGCGACAUGCCCGUUGCCCGGGGACAACCGGUGGAAACGCCGACUAAUCCCCGAUGGGACGGAGGCCCUCAUGGGUCUCUGUUGAAAGUUACGGCGGCGACGGAUUGGCUCGCGUCCGAUUAGCUAGUUGGCGGGGUAACGGCCCACCAAGGCUACGAUCGGUAGGGGUUCUGAGAGGAAGGUCCCCACAAUGGAACUGAGACACGGUCCAUACUCC
rnacentral:rRNA from 1 species